GGGGCCGGCCCCACUCCGCCCCAGCGCGGGCUGCUUCCCACCACGUCCCUGCACAUGUGAUUGCCGGAAAAGUAGUGCUCAAGCAGCUAGCAUCACAGGAGAUGCUCCAGCUUUUUGAAGCUUUCUGCCACCGUCACAGCCUUCCCCUCUUCUAGAAUCAAACCUACGUGUUUCUGCCAGGAAGUUCUCGAAAUUCCUCACUUUCUCACUCCAUAUCUUUCAGACAGAUGGCAAAGCGAGGCCCAAUUGACAUAUUUAUCAAGCAGAGACAUCUGGUUGCUGAACACGCAAUUCUGAAUCAGAUGACGCCAAUGUAAAUGAAACCGAAGUAUUGUCAACAAAAAGAAUUCAUACUAGCUUUACUCAGAAAUAGACGCCUCAUACAUUCAGUUCAGUUUUGUAGCCACAAAUGAUGAUGGACUGCCAAAACCGCAGUGUGUUAUUUGUGGUGAUGUGUUGGCUAACGACGCAAUGAAGCCGUCAAAGCUCAAGAGGCAUUUAAAUACAAAACAAUGAAAUUAGUUCAAAGCCGAAAGAGUUCUUCAAAAGAAAGCAUGUUGAUUUAAAAGGCCAUCAGAAACAGAUCUUUGAAGUGUCACACAUAAAUACUUGUGCUUUGCGAGCUUCUUAUAAAGUAGCGCUUUGCGUUGCUAAGGCUAAAAAGCCAUACACAACUGGUGAGACACUAGCGAUAGGUGGUAUUAAAGAUGUUUGCAUGGAAAUGGUGGGCGAGCUGGUGGCAAAGAAAGUGGUUCAGGUGCCACUUUCAAAUGACACUAUAGCUCGACGAAUUCACGAUCUGGCUGACUAUCUGGAAGAUCAGCUCAUAGGCUAGAUUAAAUUAGCAAAGUACUUUUCUUUGCAGCUUGAUGAAUGUACAGAUGUUGCUAAUACAGCAAUUCUGAUGGUGUACGUGCGCUUUGAACAUGAGGGUGAUUUGAAGGAAGAGUUUUUGUUUUCUGCUUCACUACCAACAAAAACAACUAGUUCUGAAGUGUUCAAGAGUGUGAGCGACUACAUCGUUAACAAACGUGGGUUGGAUUUCAAGUUUUGUGUAGGCGUAUGUUCUGAUGGCGCUGCCGUGAUGACAGGACGGCAUUCUGGAGUCGUUACCCAGAUUAAGGCACUUGCACCCGAAUGCACGUCGACACACUGCUUCCUUCACCGAGAAAGUCUUGCAACAAAAAAAAACACGUCAACAGAACUAAACAGUGUGCUCAGCGAGGUCAUAAAAAUUGUGAACCAUGUAAAGGCGAAUGCUUUAAAUUCAAGACUAUUCGCUGCAUUAUGUGAUGAUAUGGGAGCUGAUCAUAAACAGCUCCUAUUGCAUGCCGAUGUACGUUGGUUAUCGAGGGGAAAAGUCCUGUCAAGAGUAUUUGAGCUCCGAAACGAGCUUGCCGAGUUUCUUCAUGACAAAAACCAAUUGGUCACAAUUGUUCCGAGAUGUGGACUGGAUAGCCUAGUUGGCUUAUUUGGCUGAUAUCUUUGCCAUCUUUAACAAUCUCCAUGCAGGGAAGGAUGGCUUCAUGUCUUACAAUGGCAGACAAGAUCGACAGACAGAAACGAAAGCUAAAAGCAUGGAAGAGUCGAGUGUCAAGAGAUCGUUAUGACAUGUUUCACAACUUAGCGACAAUCAUCGCCGAUGCAGGUGAAGACCUUGAUGUUACAUCUCUACGAAAUAUCAUCAGUGAACACGACAAAUUUGGCAGAAUAUUUUGAGUUUUACUUUCCAGCAGAAGAAGAUCCAUGGAAGACUGGAUGGAUCUGAAAUCCGUUUAUUCCACUGAAAGAUGACUUAACGGUCACUAUGGAGGAUAAAUUGUUGGAGCUGGCUGCUGGCUAAAGAUUGAAGAUGAGUUUCGAAACUACAACAUCACUUGCUUCCUUUUGGAUAAAAGUGAAAGCAGAAUAUCCUGAGCUUACUGAAAUUGCUCUGAAAACUCUUCUCCCAUUUCCUUCAACGUACCUCUGCGAGACUGGCUUCUCAACCAUGAGUGUUAUUAAGACAAAGUACAGGAAUAGUAUGGAUAGUCAUUCUCCAUUGCAUGUGGCAAUGUCCUCAGUUGAACCACGACUGGAUAAACUGACAAAGAAGCAGGCUCACCUUUCACAUUAGUAAAGGCUAAGGUUUUAACAUGCUUAUUAUUAUGUUAAUACAUUUUUUUAUAAUAUCUUUAUUAGGAGACUUUGCUGGUUUGAUUUUUAAAUAUUUUUAUUUGUAUUGUAAUAUUGUAUUAUUUGUUUACAAAAUAAA